rnacentral:rRNA from 1 species
AGUGGAGCCUGCGGCUUAAUUUGACUCAACACGGGAAACCUCACCAGGCCCGGACACCGGAAGGAUUGACAGAUUGAGAGCUCUUUCUUGAUUCGGUGGGUGGUGGUGCAUGGCCGUUCUUAGUUGGUGGAGCGAUUUGUCUGGUUAAUUCCGAUAACGAACGAGAUUCUAGCCUGCUAACUAGGCGUUUUCGACAUCCCAAAGGCCCGCCGGUUCGUUGCUUCGGCUUCUUACCGUGUGCGGUUUUUACUGUCGGCGUACAAACAAUUCUUCUUAGAGGGACAGGCGGCUCUUAGCCGCACGAGAUUGAGCAAUAACAGGUCUGUGAUGCCCUUAGAUGUUCUGGGCCG